rnacentral:rRNA from 1 species
GAGAGAGGGUGAGAGCCCCGUACUCGAAAUGAGAGUCUGGAGAGAGAUGACACCUGAGUAGGGCGGGACACGAGAAAUCCUGUCUGAAUCAGCCGGGACCAUCCGGCAAGGCUAAAUACGAGAGAGUGACCGAUAGUGAACCAGUACCGUGAGGGAAAGGUGAAAAGAACCCCGGGAGGGGAGUGAAAGAGAACCUGAAACCAUAUGCCUACAAGAAGUCAGAGCCCGUUAAAGGGUGAUGGCGUGCCUUUUGUAGAAUGAACCGGCGAGUUACUGUAUGGAGCGAGGUUAAGCAGGAUAUGCGGAGCCGAAGCGAAAGCGAGUCUUAAGAGGGCGCGAGUUGCAUGCAGUAGACCCGAAACCGGGUGAUCUAGCCAUGACCAGGUUGAAGUUGGGGUAAAACCCGAUGGAGGACCGAACCGACCCCCGUUGAAACGUUGGCGGAUGAGUUGUGGCUAGGGGUGAAAUUCCAAUCGAACCCGGAGAUAGCUGGUUCUCCCCGAAAUAGCUUUAGGGCUAGCGUCGAGAGAAGAGUUGCGUGAAGGUAGAGCACUGAAUAUGUGAUGGCCCCAUCUCGGGGUACUGAGCAUAAUCAAACUGCGAAUGUCACGCCAACAUGCUCGGCAGUCAGACAGCGGGUGAUAAGGUCCGUUGUCAAGAGGGAAACAGCCCAGACCAUCAGCUAAGGUCCCAAAAUGUAUGCUAAGUGGAAAAGGAUGUGGAGAUGUACAGACAACUAGGAGGUUGGCUUAGAAGCAGCCAUCCUUUAAAGAGUGCGUAACAGCUCACUAGUCGAAUGACUCUGCGCCGAUAAUUUACCGGGGCUAAGCAUACUACCGAAGCUAUGGAUCCCAAGGGAUGGUAGGGGAGCGUUCCAUGAACGGAGAAGUACGACCGAAAGGACGUGUGGAGAUCAUGGAAGAGAGAAUGCCGGUGUGAGUAGCGGAACGUGGGUGAGAAUCCCACGCACCGAAAACCCAAGGUUUCCAGAGGAAGGUUCGUCCGCUCUGGGUAAGUCGGGACCUAAGGCGAGGCCGAAAGGCGUAGUCGAUGGACAACAGGUAGAGAUUCCUGUACCCGUAUAUAUGUGAAGGAAUGACGGAGAGAGGAAGCUGCAGCCAGCGGCUGGAAGAGCUGGUGCAAGCGAGAUAUCGGGAUGGCAGGCAAAUCCACCAUCCGAAACGAGAAGGCGUGAAGCGUACGGAAAGCUACGGCGAGUACGGAAGGCAGUGGAGGAACUUCCAAGAAAAGUUUCUAACGUUAAGUAUAUAUGGCCCGUACCGAAAAUGGACACACAUGGGUGAGGAGAGAAUCCUAAGGUGAGCGAGAGAACUAUAGCUAAGGAACUCUGCAAAAUGACUCCGUAACUUAGGGAGAAGGAGUGCUCAUAGAGAUAUGAGCCGCAGUGAAACGGCCCAAGCGACUGUUUACCAAAAACACAGCUCUCUGCUAAGCCGCAAGGCGAAGUAUAGGGGGUGACGCCUGCCCGGUGCUGGAAGGUUAAGGGGAGGGGUUAACGCAAGUGAAGCCCUGAACUGAAGCCCCAGUAAACGGCGGCCGUAACUAUAACGGUCCUAAGGUAGCGAAAUUCCUUGUCAGGUAAGUUCUGACCCGCACGAAAGGCGUAAUGAUUUGGGCACUGUCUCAACAGCCCGCCCGGCGAAAUUGUAGUACUGGUGAAGAUGCCAGUUACCCGCA